rnacentral:rRNA from 1 species
ACCAGAAGUCGUUGGGCUAACCCGCAAGGGAGGCAGAUGCCGAAGGUAUGGCAGGUAAUUGGGGUGAAGUCGUAACAAGGUAGCYGUAGGUGAACCUGCAGAAGGAUCA